AUCUAAAUAGUUUAAUUAGAAUAAUAAUUUGUGGUGUUAUAGGUGCUUAAAUGCUUUAGAUC
rnacentral:tRNA from 1 species